UACGUAGGGUGCAAGCGUUAAUCGGAAUUACUGGGCGUAAAGCGUGCGCAGGCGGUUAUAUAAGACAGUUGUGAAAUCCCCGGGCUCAACCUGGGAACUGCAUCUGUGACUGUAUAGCUAGAGUACGGUAGAGGGGGAUGGAAUUCCGCGUGUAGCAGUGAAAUGCGUAGAUAUGCGGAGGAACACCGAUGGCGAAGGCAAUCCCCCUGGACCUGUACUGACGCUCAUGCACGAAAGCGUGG
rnacentral:rRNA from 1 species